CGAAAGCGAUAUUAAAACAAAAUCAUCAUUCAGACUUGAAGCAGUAUCAAUUGAUCAAAUUGGUAGUGCAAACAGCUGAACCACUCAAGGUCAACACUACAGAGGGGACAAAUGAUUAAGACAUGACAAAUGACAGUGGACGCAGAUAGAUCGACAAACAUAGAUCACGCAGAUGCAACCGUGGAAGCCAAAGUGGCACUCAGCCAAUAACAGUCCUUAAACCAUAUAUAUCAACGACAAUGCAUGGGCAGCC
rnacentral:lncRNA from 1 species